AUAACAAUACAGGACUCUUUCGAGGCCCUGUAUUUGGUAUGAAUACACUUUAAAUCCUUUAACGAGGAUCUAUUGGAGGGCAAAUCUGGUGCCAGCAGCCGCGGUAAUUCCAGCUCCAA